UGGAUAAGCAGUAUUAUAAAUCACCACUAUGACGUAUGACAUACGACAGUAUGACAUAUGACACUUUAAAAGUGCCAGUAAAUGAUUACUUCAAUUAAAUAUGGUUUAAUUUUAAUCAUGUGUAUGUCACGUAAAAAUUUAACUCCAACUUAAUACAGCUAUGAAGCAAUCUUACUUUUCGCGGGGCAGAACAAUAAUUAUUUAAUUGCAAGGGAUUCCUUGGUCAAAUAUCUCGGGCAAUCGGCAUGAAUUCUUCUCCUAAGCACGCUUUGAGUUACUUAUGUGCUCAAUAUGUCUCAAUAUAUAUAUAUGGAGUAUACAUCGGGGAACUAACAUAGGAAUGGCCCAUUAAAUUUUCUGUUUGAAUUUAUGCACGAUUCAUACAUCGCCCGCCGCAGACAUUGCUUUUGUUAAAUGAACAAUCUACUAUAACGAGACUUAAAUUUCUCGUCUCGAGGCAGAUGACUUCAUUCACGCGUAUACAUAUUUUUUUCGUGUUGAUCGAAUUUAUAGCAAGACUGAAUAACAUUUAAAAAGAACUAGAAGUCCCGCAGUAGUCGAAAUUCGACUAUAAUUAAUUGGAAUUAUAAUAUCUCCUUUUGUUCAAUUUUCUUUAAUAUUGAAAUUAAAUAUUUUGCGUCUGUGGAUGAAAAUAUAGCGUCAGGUUUUAAAAUGAAAAUGGCUUAUUAAUAGUGUAAGUUAUUUAUAGUGUAAGUUAAUGUAUAAAAUGAUAUGUGCGUAUUGUGUUGCUUUUGUUUUUUUGUAAUUUAAAUUUCUAAAUUUCUCUUCUUGUUCACUGUCUACUUAUAUGUGAUUUUGAUUGUGGAAACAUAUUUGGUUAUUGUUUUAGCUAUAUAUUUUUUAAAUAUUUAUGUUUUGUAUUGUACUGUUUGUUUCCCAAAUAAAUAAAUAAAUAAAUAAAUAAAAAA